GACGAACGCUGGCGGCGUGCCUAACACAUGCAAGUCGAGCGGAGAUGAUGUGAGGAAGUUUUCGGAUGGAAUCACAUUAUUUUAGCGGCGGACGGGUGAGUAACGCGUGAGCGACCAACCUUGCACAGGGGGAUAACGGACCGAAAGGUUCACUAAUACCGCAUGAGACCACGGUGUUGCAUGACACAGGGGUCAAAGGAGGCAUCCGGUGCAAGACGGGCUCGCGUCCGAUUAGGUAGUUGGAGGGGUAACGGCACAACAAGCCUAUGAACGGUGGCCGACCUGAAAGAGUGAUAGGGCAAAUUGGAACUGAGAUACGGUCCAAACUCCUACGGGAGGCAGCAGUGGGGAAGAUUGGGCAAGGGGGGAAACCCUGACCCAGCAACGCCGCGUGAAGGAAGAAGGUUUUCGGAUUGUAAACUUCUGUCCUUGGUGAAGAGAAGAAGACGGUAGCCAAGGAGGAAGCCCCGGCUAACUACGUGCCAGCCGCCGCCGUAA
rnacentral:rRNA from 1 species